rnacentral:rRNA from 1 species
UACGUAGGUGGCAAGCGUUGUCCGGAUUUACUGGGCGUAAAGAGCGCGCAGGCGGUCGUAUAAGUCGAAUGUGAAAGCCCCCGGCUCAACUGGGGAGGGUCAUUCGAUACUGUUCGACUCGAAGGCAGGAGAGGGAAGUGGAAUUCCGGGUGUAGUGGUGAAAUGCGUAGAUAUCGGGAGGAACACCAGUGGCGAAGGCGGCUUUCUGGCCUGUUCUUGACGCUGAGGCGCGAAAGCUAGGGGAGCAAACGGG